rnacentral:misc_RNA from 1 species
GAUGAAGAACGUAGCGAAAUGCGAUAAGUAAUGUGAAUUGCAGAAUUCAGUGAAUCAUCGAAUCUUUGAACGCACAUUGCGCCCCCUGUAUUCCGGGGGGCAUGCCUGUUCGAGCGUCAUUUCACCACUCAAGCCUCGCUUGGUAUUGGGCAACGCGGUCCGCCGCGUGCCUCAAAUCGACCGGCUGGGUCUUCUGUCCCCUAAGCGUUGUGGAAACUAUUCGCUAAAGGGUGUUCGGGAGGCUACGCCGUAAAACAACCCCAUUUCUAAGGUUGACCUCGGAUCAGGUAGGGAUACCCGCUGAACUUAAGCAUAUCAAUAAGCGGAGGA